rnacentral:rRNA from 1 species
GGAUGAACGCUGGCGGCGUGCCUAAUCCAUGCAAGUAGAACGCUGAAGGAGGAGCUUGCUCUUCUGGAUGAGUUGCGAACGGGUGAGUAACGCGUAGGUAACCUGCCUGGUAGCGGGGGAUAACUAUUGGAAACGAUAGCUAAUACCGCAUGACAACAGUUAUUGCAUGGUAACUGUUUAAAAGGGGCAACUGCUCCACUACCAGAUGGACCUGCGUUGUAUUAGCUAGUUGGUGAGGUAACGGCUCACCAAGGCGACGAUACAUAGCCGACCUGAGAGGGUGAUCGGCCACACUGGGACUGAGACACGGCCCAGACUCCUACGGGAGGCAGCAGUAGGGAAUCUUCGGCAAUAGACGGAAGUCUGACCGAGCAACGCCGCGUGAGUGAAGAAGGUUUUCGGAUCGUAAAGCUCUGUUGUAAGAGAAGAACGAGUGUGAGAGUGGAAAGUUCACACUGUGACGGUAUCUUACCAGAAAGGGACGGCUAACUACGUG